UGGGGAAUAUUGCACAAUGGAGGGAACUCUGAUGCAGCGACGCCGCGUGAACGAAGAAGGCUCUCGUGUCGUAAAGUUCUUUUACAUGGGAAGAUAAUGACGGUACCAUAAGAAAAAGCCCCGGCUAACUACGUGCCAGCAGCCGCGGUAAUACGUAGGGGGCUAGCGUUGUCCGGAAUCACUGGGCGUAAAGGGUUCGCAGGCGGAAAUGCAAGUCAGGUGUAAAAGGCAGUAGCUUAACUACUGUAAGCAUUUGAAACUGCAUAUCUUGAGAAGAGUAGAGGUAAGUGGAAUUUUUAGUGUAGCGGUGAAAUGCGUAGAUAUUAAAAAGAAUACCGGUGGCGAAGGCGACUUACUGGGCUCAUUCUGACGCUGAGGAACGAAAGCGUGGGUAGCAAACAGG
rnacentral:rRNA from 1 species